UCAUGUUUCUACCCAACGUUUACACAAAAGAGAAUUUUUAAAGGAAAAAAUGAAGCGACUUCUAGCCUCUACUCCUAUCGACGCGGAAACUUGGAGAACUAGAAAUCAAGAAGUUGACAAAGAAAAUGAAAGAACGGAUAAAUACAAGGGUAUUCUUACUCCCGGUCUUACUCCUGUACCUCAUGCCUACCCGGAUACCCGUGGUUCAACCCCUGAAAUUUCUACUCCUGCUCCAGUCAACAAAUUGCUAGCGUACUUAUCAGAAGAAAACUCGCUAGGAUACCCUCAGCCACCCGGAAUAGGAGCUCUAGCGGCGUCAACCCCAGCAUAUUUAGGCAAAAAUCCUCCUACUUUUGCUCCGAGUGUAGUUGGAGAAAAUAUAAACCAAGGCGCGGAGUUCAGGGGACAUAACCCAUUCAGGUUCGGUUUUACGGAACAGACUGAAAGAUCGUUGAGAAAAAUGAAAAUUCCAGGAGAUACUAAUUCCGGAGUUGGGUUAGGUUCUAUUAGAGAAAGCACUCCAGGGUUUAUCUUUGGACAUCAAGUAGAAAAGACUAACGGGCAUGGGUUUGUAGAUCUAGGUGGAGAGACUCCAGGGUAUAGUUUUCGUACUGGAGAGACAAAUUCUUUCUUCGGGUUUGGUGCUAUUGGAGAAAAAACUCCAAGAGAAGGUAUUAAUAAAACAGUAGAUACUCCCGGAGUGGAGAUUGAAGACAAGAGUACAGAUUGGGGAAACUUCUUCGAUAGGUCCAAGCACAGAUUUGGAAAUGACAACGUUUCAUUUGGGCCAUUUGAUUUUGCAGGUACUGGUGGAACUGGUGAGAACUCACUGAGUUUCCAAAUUAAUUUACCAGACAAACCUCCUGUCACCAACUUCAAUCUAUUCAACAGUGAAGAAAGAUUGAACGAAGAGGAAGAAAGAGAGAAGAGAAAUAUAUAUUUUCCAAUUGGGGAUGAGUCUAGGAAUCUGUACCUAGAAGAGGGAUCUGAGAGAGCUGAGACUUCGUUUAAACUUCCUUGUCCGGAACCUCGUCCCAACUUCUCUCCUCCGAAACCAGUUUUUAUGCACCAGACUAAGGGGUGUUCCAAUCGAAGUUCAAUGGCCAGCAAUUUGUAUGGGCGAGGUAUGGAUCUUUCUUUAGAUGAAACUCUACAGACGGGACCAGCUAGACCAGGACGAGUAGACUCGGACUUGGAGCAGGGAAGCACGAGCGCGUUGCACAAGGAUACUGUUGAAAAGCUGAACGAGUUCUCUGCUCGGUUGCGUGCGUUAAAAUCUCCGGGUGUUAAAAGAGCUCCAGGUUUCGGAUUGCGACCUACCCCAAGAGGAACCUCUACUCCUAAGAGCGCUGGAACCCGAACCCCCCGAACUCCUAAAUCUGUUGCGUCUACUCCGUGUCAUAAUUUAACCCUGGUCCCAGAACCAGACUUGAUCGCCGCCAUUAUGGAAGGUCGUGGGACAGCCAAGGGAGAGGUUGGGAUUGCUGCAAUACAGAUCUCUAACCCUGUUCUCUUUCUUUGCCAGUUCUCUGAUAGUCCAACCUAUCCUAGAACCCUGAGUAAACUACUGAGCUUCAACCCUGCGGAGAUUAUCUGUCCUGGGAACACGAACCUUUAUGCUCAAGGAGAUCAGAGAAACAAGCUGAAUGAAGAGAUCUUGAUCCAUCUCCCGAAUUCCAACCUUGUUCCUGUACAGAGGAAACAUUUUAACGAGAGUAAGGGUGCGACCCUGCUCCAGCAGCUUGUAACCACUGAGAACCAGGGAACCCAGCUGCAGUAUCAGAACAAGUUCUAUUCACUCGCCGCAGCUUGUGCUCUUCUUAAAUACCUAGAGUAUACAGAAAAUAUCCAGUUUCAAAGUAAAUCUCUCCGAGUUGAAUACCAGACAGCGGAGAAGUGCACAACUAUAGACCCUGAGACUGCGGAGCAGAUUGAACUCAUGUCAAGUCUUGGAGAUAAAAAAUCUAAGCUUUCUCUUUUUGGACUUCUCAACAAAUGCUUGACUAGAGGGGGGAUCAGGCUACUGAGAUCCAACCUUUAUCAACCUCCAAUACAUCCGCAGAUGAUUGGUGAAAGGUUGGAAGCAGUUGAGGAGUUGGUAGAGAAUCCAGAGUUAUAUACAGCACUCAGAAACUCUCUCUCCAGGUUUCAAGAUCUAGAACUGAUUCUGUCUCUAUGUGUCCGUCAGAGUAAACCCAACGUUUCCACACACAUCCUAGACCAGAAGAUGGAUCGAAUAAUCGGACUAAAACAGGUUUUAGAGUUUCUAGUUCCUCUAUCUGAAAUCCUAGCUCCCUCUACCUCCACCCUCCUGAAGGGGGCCAGGGACCUCGUCGUUAAACACGGGAAGAACUGUCAGCUUCUCCUCCAGAUGCUUCAUCUCGUUAUCAACGAGUCAGCGACCUCGUCGAAGAAUGCGACCUCGAUGAGGUUCGCGAGGGCGAUGGCAAUCCGUCCAAACACGAACGGAUUGCUGGAUCUGGACAGAGCAGCUUUCUGUGAGAACGUCGAUGAUUUAGAGAGACAUACCAAGAGUCUAGAGGAGGAGUACCAGCUGCCGGUUAGAUUGGUCUGGUCAGGAACGCGUGGCUUUUAUAUCAAUAUACCCCAGGAGAAAGGAAGAACAUUAAGGAUUGAAGAACUUCCAGAUAUUUUCCACAGAGUUCAGAAGAACAAGAACUCCAUCACUUGUGUCACAGAGUUUAUGCUGAUGAAGGAUCGUUUAAUUCAAGGAAAUAUUCAGGAAAUAACCCUGAUAUCUGACACUAUCCUAGAGGAACUUCUAGCUGAGGUUAGAGAAUAUAUAUGGUUUCUCUACCAGCUGAGUGAAACUGUUUCUCUUAUUGACCUUCUUCUUUCUCUAGCCGCAGUGUCAAUGAACCAGGAUUUUACUAAGCCGGAGUUUGGGGACAGUAUUGCAGUGAAGGGAGCUCGGCAUCCCUUCCUGGAGAUGAUGGAUGUAGAAGUUGUCCCUAAUGAUAUACUCGCUGAUCCUGAUCACAGGAUAAUUGUUCUAACAGGACCUAAUAUGAGUGGUAAGUCGACCUACCUGAGACAAGUUAUACUGAUCAGUAUCAUGGCCCAGGUGGGGUGCUUCGUGCCCGCUCAAUCAGCUGUUCUUAGAAUUCCAGAUCGUAUAUUUUCUCGUGUAUCCAACCGUGACAGUAUCGAGACUAACUCCUCCACCUUCAUGAUGGAGAUGAGGGAGAUCUCCUUCCUUCUCCAGCACAGGACAGACAGAUCGUUGAUUAUAAUUGACGAGCUGGGCCGAGGAACUGGAGUAGAUGAAGGUUCAGCAGUCUGCUGGGCAGUAUGUGAGGAGUUACUCAAGGGUGGAUCCUACACCUUCCUAGCAACCCACUUCCAGCUUAUACCUCUUCUAGCAAACAUAUAUCCAGCUGUAGUUAACUAUCAUUUCCUGCUUGACAGGGACCAGGAGCAGGAGGUUCAUUUUACUCAUGUACUAGGUUUGAUGAAAGUUGUUUGAACUUAUUGAGAUCUGUUAAAGGAUUGGUCAGGAUGGGUAUCAGAGACGAAGAUCUAGUUCAGAAUCUCAGGAUGUUGAGAGAACAGUUUCUACAGGAAUCUCCGAACUAGGGGAAAAUCAAAAGCUCCUAGGAUAGAUAAAUCUAAAUCAGCGGACUUAUUAUUAUAAACUACCACAACAUCGUGUUAAGUUAAUCCACAGCAGUGAACUGAAUGAAUAAACACUUGAAUCAGUAAAUGCGCCAAAAUCAGUGAAACAAGAAAAUUGAAUGGAUGGCCAGGAUUAGGUAUUCCGCCUGUUCAGACAACUCACAGUAUUGAUGCCAGAGAAUGUUUGGUUGCUAGGUCUAACUUUAUACUAGAAACCAAGGUUUAUUGAUACAAUUUCUGCAACUUUGCUUCAUUUACUUGCAAAGUGCAUUUUGAUGCUACAACGAGUUGAGAAUUCUAGUGUUGGCAGUGUAGGGAUAAUGUACAACUUUUCCAUAGAAACUUUAUUCACAUCAAAAUAUAAAAUUUAUGAUAUAAAAAAAUUAAUUCCCCUGAAAAUGUUUGAAAGUUAAGUUGAUGUCACAGGGAGAUUUUAUUAUCUAUAAAAGUUUGAUCCUUGUAUUUAAUAUUUAUCCAUCCUUGGGUUCCAGGUCAGGGUUCAAUAUCUGGAGUAAAACUAUCUGGUUCCAACCCAGGAUAGGAUCGCGAGGAAGAGCAGGGUUCAGAUUCUCACGAAAUAUAAUUGAUUUCAAAUCGAGUGUUUUCUUGCAUGCUUGGCAAGCAGGUCCCUUAUAAUUCAUUAACUAGAAAUUCUGGGAGAAAACUCUAAUGAUGUCUCUUAAUCAGUUUUAAUCAUUAUAUCUUAAUUGAGAACCUACAUGUAUCAACUUUAAUAAUUGUUUUAAAAUGUAAUCAUUUGUAUAUUCAUAUUUUUCAGGCAAUCAUAAAAUAUCGUACAUUAUGUUCAUUUGGUAAAAUACUAAAUCUUAAAAAGAUUGUCACAAUUUUUUUCUCUAAUUCAGGUUUAAUA
rnacentral:misc_RNA from 1 species